AAAAAGUUAGUUAAUUUAUAACAUUAGAAUGUCAUCCUAAAGUAAUUAGUUUUUAAUACUUUUUG
rnacentral:tRNA from 1 species